rnacentral:rRNA from 1 species
CGGAUUGCAGGCUGCAACCCGCCUGCAUGAAGCUGGAAUCGCUAGUAAUCGCGGAUCAGAAUGCCGCGGUGAAUACGUUCCCGGGUCUUGUACACACCGCCCGUCACACCAUGGGAGUCGGGAAUGCCCGAAGCCGGUGACCGAACCGCAAGGACGGAGCCGUCGAAGGCAGAUUCGAUAACUGGGGUGAAGUCGUAACAAGGUACC